AACAAGUUCUAUAUCGAUCGGACAAUCAAUACAUAUCAUUGUUGGAAGUUGGAACUCCUCCAUUGCGAAUAGACUCCCAGAACCUAUGCCAUAUUACCCCUAAAAACUUGCCUUAAUGCCAUCUCUAUUAAAGCCUUUGAAUUCAAUUAAUUAAUCACCCAACUCCGACAACCUUAGGGGUCAGCCUAAAACACUAAUAAGAAGAGCCCAGACCCCAGCCGACUCAUGAAAGCGACCCACUGGAACAGCACUUCCGAUCAAAGGACCCGAACGAUCCCCUCACGCCUUGGCCUCACCCUUAACUGAAAGCGCACUCUGGAGAGGCUUACGUCUUGGACACGUGGAAUCUCCCGAUUGCUCCACAAGAUCGCACGUAUCAACCCCUGAUAGCAGUUAUUCUCACGUGCCAUGCCCAUAUAUAAGCGGCUAGUAACGGAAUCAAUGAUAAGCAAAGCAAGAGAGAGGAGAGCUUCUUCAGAAACUCCGAAUUUUCAGGUUCGAUAUUAUAAUUGUUUUUAAAAUGGAAAUAUUUUCUUUAUUGUUUAUCUGAUUUUAUUUUUGGAUUAGUCGUAUGUGGCGAAGAAAUUCGAUCUUGAAAGAAAGAAUCCUAUAUUCUACUUCGUUUCCUGUUUUCUUUUACCGCAAACCCCUUGUUUGGCUGCCGAGAAAUCUUCGGAAAAGUAUUUUGGUUCUUGCGUUUGGUACUUUCUUGAUUAUUUAUUUGAUUUGAUUUGAUUUUUUUUAAUAAAUGGAAACGUCUAAAUAGUGAUAAACUAAAUUAUUGUAUUGGGAUCGGUGGCGGGGAGGUUUUGAUGUUUCGGAUCUGAAUUCUUUUCCAACAUAUCGUCAGCAAUCAAAAGGAGGAUAAAGAUAGUUACGAGAGAUACGGGUUCCGACAAAGAUCACUGAUCGAGUGUUGUCAUGCCGUACCUUGUCCGGGAGAAUCUAUUCAUCGGUAACAUUAGUGACGCAGCGGAGAUUCUCCAGAACGGUAGCGCCGAGAUCACGCAUAUCUUAUCGGUUCUCAGUUCCGCCUCGAUUUCUUUUUUCUCUGAAUGGCGCGCCGGACUUUCUAUCCCUACCAAAGAAAUUCGCAGAGUCUUCGUUGGUGGGUCUGGUAGUAGUUCAGAAUCCGAGGAUAAACCGGUCAAUGGUUCAAAGAGUUGUUUAUCGCCAGAGAAAAUUCUCUAUUCACUGGAAUAUGCGGGCAAGGAUCUGAAGCUGGUGAGGAUGGCGGUCCCAUUGAGGGAUAUGGAGAGUGAGGAUUUGUUGGAUUAUUUGGAUGUAUGUUUGGAUUUCAUUGACAAGAGUAGGAAAGAGGGUUCAGUUUUGGUACAUUGCUUUGCUGGGGUAUCAAGAAGUGCAUCUAUCAUUACAGCAUACCUGAUGAGAACUGAGCGUCUGUCUCAAGAAGAUGCACUUGAGUCCUUACGGCAGAGCUGUGAGUUUGUUUGCCCUAAUGAUGGUUUUCUGGAACAGUUAAAAAUGUAUGAAGAUAUGGGUUUCAAGGUUGAUCAUGCUAACCCCAUAUACAAGCGCUUUUGCCUAAAAGUAUUAGGUGAACUUUAUAAUCGUGGAGAGAAAAUAGACAGCUCUAAAUUUGGGGCAGAUCCUGGCAUCUCAACAGAACCCAUUUCUUCUAAAGUAGAGGCAUCUCCAAAUGGAGUAAUUAAUUCAACUGCUGCGUACCGCUGCAAAAAAUGCCGAAGAGUUGUUGCAUUGCAAGAGAAUGUUGUGGAUCAUGUUCCAGGUGAGGGUGAGACUUCCUUUGAGUGGUACAAGCGGAGAAGUGGCAACCCUUUUGACAAGUCAAGUGAGUUUGAGUGCUCUUCUAUCUUUGUUGAGCCUUUACGGUGGAUGACAACAGUUGAAGAAGGUGCGUUGGAGGGCAAGCUGACAUGUGCUCACUGCGAAGCCCGUUUGGGUUAUUUUAAUUGGUCAGGGAUCCAGUGCAGUUGCGGGAGUUGGGUCACCCCUGCCUUUCAGCUCCAUAAAAGCCGAGUUGAUAUCAGCACCGUCUAAUAUUUUUCUUUUGGCAAAAGGGAUAGGCUAAUGCUUAGCUUUCCCCCUUUUUUACUGACAAAAAAGACGGUCAUGGGAGGAGCUGCAGCUGGAGGCAGGGGCAUGGCUGAAGUACCAUCUUGUGCUAGUGAUUUAUGGUAUGACGUUGUUUUUCCGAUAUCCUUCAGUGCUUAAAAUGGAUAGCCAUAAUGAAGGUUCACGAUACACAUGUCAAAAUGCUUUUUGGCACAAAUAUGUAUUUAUGAGACAUUCAAGCCUAUUAUUAUUGCCAUUGUGGAGGUCGGCCUCAUCAAAUUUUCAUUUGCCUUUUGACUCUUGUUACAGAUUGUCAAUUGAUGGUUUUGGUGUUUUCA